rnacentral:lncRNA from 1 species
CCGGGAGCGUGUGUGGUGCGCGCCUGCCUUGAGGCCAGGCCUCAGAGAAGGGUGUCCCAGAUGUAGGCAAAGCGUCCUCCAUGUGUUCCUGGAGGACCGUCCCAAGUCCUUCUCCAUUCUCCCAACCUCUUGGGCCUGUUUCUUUUGCAGACAGUGGAAUACUAUGCAGCAACUAAAGGAACCACCUAGCAUGAUGUGUAUCAGUAUGGAUACAUUGCAAAAACAAAGCUAAAAACAAGCUACCAGGCAUAUGAAGCACAGGAUGGUAGAGGACAAACUAUACUACAAGGCUAUAGUAACCAAAGCAUGAUACUCAUAAAAAAACAGGCACAUAUACCAAUGGAUCAGAGUAGAGAACUGAGAAGUCUGCACAUGUACAACUAUCUGAUCUUCAACAAACCUGACAGAAAGAAGCAACGGGGAAAGGAUUCCCUGUAUAGUAAGUGGUACUGGGAGAGCUGGCUAGCCAAAUGCAGAAAAUUGAAACUGGGCCCCUUCCUUACACUUUAUACAAAAAUUAAGACGGAGUGAAGGCUUAAAUGUAAAACUCAAAACUAUAAAAACCCUAGAAGAAAAUCUAGGCAAUACCAUUCAGGACAUAGACAUGGGCAAAGAUUGUAUGAUGAAAUCACCAAAAGAAAUUGCAACAAAAGCAAAAAUUGACAAAUGGGAUCUAAUUAAAGAGCUUCUGCACAGCAAAAGAAACUAUCAUCAGAGCGAACAGACAACCUACAGAAUGGGAGAAAACUUUUGCAAUCUAUCCAUCUGACAAAGGUCUAAUAUCCAGAAUCUACAAGGAACUUAAGCAAAUUUACAAGAAAAAACAUUAAAAAGUGUACAAAAUUCAUGAACAGACACUUCUCAAAAGAAGACAUCCAUGUGGCCAACAAAUAUAAAAAGCUCAACAUCACUGAUAAUCAGAGAAAUGCAAAUCAAAAUCACAAUGACAUACCAUCUCACGCCAGUCAGAAUGGCGAUUUUUUUUUUUUUUUUGAGAUGGAGUUUUGCUCUUGUUGCCCAGGCUGGAGUGCAGUGGUGCAAUCUCAGCUCACUGCAACCUCUGCCUCCCAGGUUCAAGCAAUUCUCCUGCCUCAGCCUCCCGAGUAGCUGGGAUUACAGGCAUGCACAACCACGCCCGGCUAAUUUUGUAUUUUUUAGUAGAGACGGGGUUUCUCCAUGUUGGUCAGGCUGGUCUCGAACUCCCGACCUCAGGUGAUCUGCCCACCUCUCAGGUUCCCAAAGUGCUGGGAUUACAGGCAUGAGCCACCGGGCCCUGCCUACAACCAUGAUUAUUAAAAAGUCAAGAAACAGUUGCUGGCGAGGUUGUGGAGAAACAGGAACACUUUUACACUAUUGGAGGGAAUGUAAAUUAGUUCAACCAUUGUGGAACACGGUGUGGCAAUUCCUCAGAGAUUUAGAACUGGGAAUACUGUUUGACCCAGCAAUCCCAUUACUGGGUAUAUACCCAAAGGAAUAUAAACCAUUCUAUUAUAAAGAUACAUGCACAUGUACAUUCAUUGCAGCACUAUUCACAAUAGCAAAGACAUGGAAUCAACCCAGUUGCCCGUCAGCGAUAGACUGGAUAAAGGAAAUCUGGUACAUAUAUGCCAUGGAAUACUAUGCAGCCAUGCAAAGGAACAAGAUCGUGUCCUUUGCGGGACAUGGAUGAAGCUGGAAGCCGUUAUCCUCAGCAAACUAACACAGGAACAGAAAACCAAACACCACAUGUUCUUACUUAUAUGUGGGAGCUGAACAGUGAGAAUACAUGGACACAGGGAGGGAAACAACACACACUGGGGCCUCUUAGCACAGGGUGGGGAGUGUGGAGAGAGCCUCAGGAGAAAUAGCUAAUGCAAGCCAGGCUUAAUACCUAGGUGAUGGGUUGAUAGGUGCAGCAAACCACCAUAACACACGUUUACCUGUGUGACCUGCACAUUCUGCACAUGUGUCCUGGAACUUAUAAAAUAAAAUUUAAAAAUAUUUGAAAACCAAUAAAAAUCAAGAUCAUUAUUUUAUUUAGCUAUUUAUUUUUAGAGAUGGGGGGGGGCCUCACUAUGUUGCCCAGGCUGGACUCGAACUACUGAACCCAAGUGAUCCUCCUGCCUCAGCCUCCUGAGUAGCUGGGACUACACAUCUACCCAGCAAGAUCAUUAUAAUCACACCUGUACCCUCUGGUCACCAAAGGAUGUGAAUUUUAAGUGGAGGUAGAGGGAGAAUAGGAAAACUAGAUUUCACAGUGUUCCCUACUGAAACAGUAGUGAGGCCAUUCUGGGUGGCCUCUGCAUCUGCUUUUGUUUGUUUGCCUCUGUCUUGAUUCCCUGUUGUCUGUCAUUGGAAGAAAAUCCGAGUCUGGACUUGGGUUGCUUCACAUGGACGUUAUUUUAAUGAUAAAUGAUAAAAGACAAGUCCUGAGUUUCCAUGGUGGCCCUGAAUAGAUUCUUCUAUGAGACACUGCGUUUCUUACGUAUAUUCUGAGACACAGGCCAGGUUCUUGUAUGAGAUGCCAUGUUUCUUAGGUAUAUUCUGAGACAUGGACCAGACCAUGUAGCAUGAACCUGAUAUUCUAGGAAAUCUCCGCAUGGGUCCUGGCGGUUUAGGACUCCCUAUGCUGCAUCCUGCAUCUUCAAUCUUAACGUCACCUUUUUUUUUUUUAACACAGAAUGUUUCUUUUUUGAUUUUCCAGUGAUUUACAAACCUACCUCCCA